ACGCUCGACACCUACGUGAGGCAGCAGUGGGGGAAUAUUGCACAAUGGGGGAAACCCUGAUGCAGCGACGCCGCGUGGAGGAAGAAGGUCUUCGGAUUGUAAACUCCUGUUGUUGGGGAAAAAGAGGAUGGUACCCAACAAGGAAGUGACGGCUAACUACGUGUCAGCAGCCGCGGUAAUCUGAGCGGGCUGGCAAGGC
rnacentral:rRNA from 1 species